GUGGGGAAUAUUGGACAAUGGGCGCAAGCCUGAUCCAGCCAUGCCGCGUGAGUGAUGAAGGCCCUAGGGUUGUAAAGCUCUUUCACCGGUGAAGAUAAUGACGGUAACCGGAGAAGAAGCCCCGGCUAACUUCGUGCCAGCAGCCGCGGUAAUACGAAGGGGGCUAGCGUUGUUCGGAAUUACUGGGCGUAAAGCGCACGUAGGCGGGUAUUUAAGUCAGGGGUGAAAUCCCGGAGCUCAACUCCGGAACUGCCUUUGAUACUGGGUACCUAGAGUAUGGAAGAGUUAAGUGGAAUUCCGAGUGUAGAGGUGAAAUUCGUAGAUAUUCGGAGGAACACCAGUGGCGAAGGCGGCUUACUGGUCCAUUACUGACGCUGAGGUGCGAAAGCGUGGGGAGCAAACAGGAUUAGAAACCCUGGUAGUCC
rnacentral:rRNA from 1 species